GUGUUCGUAGAAAGGAGAGAUGGUUGGCAUCUCCCUCGACAAGGACGGGAACAGUCUUCGGACUUUCUUAUCACAC
rnacentral:snRNA from 1 species